CCUUUAGAGUUUGAUCCUGGCUCAGAACGAACGCUGGCGGCGUGCUUAACACAUGCAAGUCGAACGCGAAAGAGGUCUUCGGACCUCUCUAGAGUGGCGCACGGGUGAGUAACGCGUAGAUAAUCUACCUCUAUAUUUGGGAUAACAGUUCGAAAGGACUGCUAAUACCGGAUACACUUAUUUGAACGCGAGUUUGAGUGAGGAAAGGUGACCUCUCCUUGGAAGUUACUGUAUAGAGAUGAGUCUGCGUACCAUUAGCUAGUAGGUAGGGUAAAGGCCUACCUAGGCUACGAUGGUUAGCUGGGUCUGAGAGGAUGAUCCGCCACACUGGAACUGGAACACGGACCAGACUCCUACGGGAGGCAGCAGUGAGGAAUAUUGCGCAAUGGGGGAAACCCUGACGCAGCGACGCCGCGUGGGUGAUGAAGGCCUUCGGGUUGUAAAGCCCUGUCAGGUGGGAAGAAGUGUCCAUGGCUAAUAUCCAUGGUAUUUGACGGUCCACCAAAGGAAGCACCGGCUAACUCUGUGCCAGCAGCCGCGGUAAUCUAGAGGGUGCAAGCCGUUGUUCGGAUUUUACUGGGGCGUAAAGGGCCGCGUAGGCNGGGCUUCCUAAGUCAGAUGUGAAAGCCACGGGCUCAACCGUGGGAAAGUGCAUCUGAAACUGCUUAGACCUUGAGUUUGGGANAAGGAAAGUGGAAAUCCCGGUGUAAAGGUGAAAUUCGUA
rnacentral:rRNA from 1 species